rnacentral:rRNA from 1 species
UACGUAGGGGGCAAGCGUUGUCCGGAUUUAUUGGGUUUAAAGGGUGCGUAGGCGGCCCUGUAAGUCAGUGGUGAAAUACGGCAGCUCAACUGUCGAGGUGCCAUUGAUACUGCGGGGCUUGAGUGUUGACGAGGCAGGCGGAAUUGACGGUGUAGCGGUGAAAUGCUUAGAUAUCGUCAAGAACACCGAUAGCGAAGGCAGCCUGCCAGGCAACAACUGACGCUGAGGCACGAAAGUGCGGGGAUCAAACAGG